CACUAAUGCAUUUUGGACCUCUUCCAUGGAAGUAAAUUGGAUCGUAAAGGCAAGAUGGCGCCUUGGGCUCCUUCUCCAAUCUACAAAGCUGCCACUGGUCUCCACGUCGGUAAUGAGUGGGCUUCAGCCAAAUAAGAUGGAAUGAAUAUCUGGAAUGGAUAAUGUACUUUUUACGAGCAAGAGUUUCCUACCAUUAAAAUGUGUUAAUAUCCAUCCUUCCUCCUCCCCUACAGAGAGUUCACUGUCCUUCUGCUUCCCAGAAGGUUAGGGAAGUUCUCCGGGGCGGAGGGGACGCCGGGAAGUCCAGACGGGAACGGGAACAGGAAACCAGUCGGAGGCCCACAGUCUCAACAAACCUCUGUUGCUGUGCACCGUUACCAUGCUGGGACUCACUGUGGUGGGAUUUAUUCAUGGCCAGUUAGCCGGGGAGAUUCAAGGUGUCCUUUGGAGAGAGAGAGCAAAACGAUCUUCAUGGACAGGAUGCAGAUCUUCC
ensembl:lncRNA